UGGGGAAUAUUGGACAAUGGGCGGAAGCCUGAUCCAGCAACGCCGCGUGAGGGAUGACGGCCUUCGGGUUGUAAACCUCUUUCAGUACCGACGAAGCGCAAGUGACGGUAGGUACAGAAGAAGCACCGGCCAACUACGUGCCAGCAGCCGCGGUAAUACGUAGGGUGCGAGCGUUGUCCGGAAUUAUUGGGCGUAAAGGGCUCGUAGGCGGUUUGUCGCGUCGGGAGUGAAAACGCCGUGCUUAACACGGCGCUUGCUUUCGAUACGGGCAGACUAGAGGUAUGCAGGGGAGAACGGAAUUCCUGGUGUAGCGGUGAAAUGCGCAGAUAUCAGGAGGAACACCGGUGGCGAAGGCGGUUCUCUGGGCAUUACCUGACGCUGAGGAGCGAAAGUGUGGGGAGCGAACAG
rnacentral:rRNA from 1 species